GGAUGGCUCAGUUGGUUAGAGCGUGGUGCUGAUAGCACCAAAGUUGCAGGUUCAAUCCUCGCAAGCGAUAGCUGCA